rnacentral:RNase_P_RNA from 1 species
GAAGUCAGCCAGACAGUCGCUCUUUUUCAGUUGGUUUUUCCAGCUGCAAAUUGGGAGGAAAGUCCGGGCUCCACAGGGUAAGGUGCCAGGUAACACCUGGGCGGCGCGAGCCGACGGAAAGUGCAGCAGAAAGUAAACCGCCUAAGCCAGUUCACUGGCCGGUAAGGGUGAAAUGGUGCGGUAAGAGCGCACCGCGCGACUGGUAACAGCUCGUGGCGAUGGAAAACCCCACCUGGAGCAAGACCAAAUAGGGAUCCAUUGGCGUG